UCCAGAAACAUACUAGAAUCAUUUACACUUUCUCCCGUUGUCGAUGAUCAGGAACCAGAAAAGAGGUAACUUCAAAGGAAACAAACUAAAGAGAUAACUUAGAUCGAAUAAUUACAAGCGAUACUGGAGUUCAAAUUGUUGUCGCAUAGAUGAUACAUAUAAAGUUUGCUUUCCGUCAUGUGACUUUCAAAGGAAACAACACAAAUAGGUAACUUAGAUCUACUUACAAGCAUACACUACCAACAAUCUAGUAAGACAAACAUACAUGAGAUAGCCAGAUACAUAUCAA